rnacentral:rRNA from 1 species
GAUGAACCCUUGCGGCGUGCCUAAUACAUGCAAGUCGAGCGAACGGACGAGAAGCUUGCUUCUCUGAUGUUAGCGGCGGACGGGUGAGUAACACGUGGAUAACCUACCCAUAAGACUGGGAUAACUUCGGGAAACCGGAGCUAGUACCGGAUAAUAUUUUGAACCGCAUGGUUCAAAAGUGAAAGACGGUCUUGCUGUCACUUAUAGAUGGAUCCGCGCUGCAUUAGUUAGUUGGUAAGGUAACGGCUUACCAAGGCAACGAUGCAUAGCCGACCUGAGAGGGUGAUCGGCCACACUGGAACUGAGACACGGUCCAGACUCCUACGGGAGGCAGCAGUAGGGAAUCUUCCGCAAUGGGCGAAAGCCUGACGGAGCAACGCCGCGUGAGUGAUGAAGGUCUUCGGAUCGUAAAACUCUGUUAUUAGGGAAGAACAUAUGUGUAAGUAACUGUGCACAUCUUGACGGUACCUAAUCAGAAAGCCACGGCUAACUACGUGCCAGCAGCCGCGGUAAUACGUAGGUGGCAAGCGUUAUCCGGAAUUAUUGGGCGUAAAGCGCGCGUAGGCGGUUUUUUAAGUCUGAUGUGAAAGCCCACGGCUCAACCGUGGAGGGUCAUUGGAAACUGGAAACCUUGAGUGCAGAAGAGGAAAGUGGAAUUCCAUGUGUAGCGGUGAAAUGCGCAGAGAUAUGGAGGAACACCAGUGGGCGAAGGCGACUUUCUGGUCUGUAACUGACGCUGAUGUGCGAAAGCGUGGGGAUCAAACAGGAUUAGAUACCCUGGUAGUCCACGCCGUAAACGAUGAGUGCUAAGUGUUAGGGGGUUUCCGCCCCUUAGUGCUGCAGCUAACGCAUUAAGCACUCCGCCUGGGGAGUACGACCGCAAGGUUGAAACUCAAAGGAAUUGACGGGGACCCGCACAAGCGGUGGAGCAUGUGGUUUAAUUCGAAGCAACGCGAAGAACCUUACCAAAUCUUGACAUCCUUUGACAACUCUAGAGAUAGAGCCUUCCCCUUCGGGGGACAAAGUGACAGGUGGUGCAUGGUUGUCGUCAGCUCGUGUCGUGAGAUGUUGGGUUAAGUCCCGCAACGAGCGCAACCCUUAAGCUUAGUUGCCAUCAUUAAGUUGGGCACUCUAAGUUGACUGCCGGUGACAAACCGGAGGAAGGUGGGGAUGACGUCAAAUCAUCAUGCCCCUUGUGAUUUGGGCUACACACGUGCUACAAUGGACAAUACAAAGGGCAGCGAAACCGCGAGGUCAAGCAAAUCCCAUAAAGUUGUUCUCAGUUCGGAUUGUAGUCUGCAACUCGACUACAUGAAGCUGGAAUCGCUAGUAAUCGUAGAUCAGCAUGCUACGGUGAAUACGUUCCCGGGUCU